rnacentral:lncRNA from 1 species
AUUCCAACUUUCUUGGAGAGUCAAAGCAUCUCAAGUUUGACCAAAUUUAUACAAUAAAGUGCUAACAUUCAUGAUAUCAAAUAGGUACCAUUAGUUUCUUCAUUAAAUAUAUUUUCAUAGUAUAUCUAUUCGGUGCCAUAAACUUUUGUAAUUUUCUCUAUAAUUUUGGUCAAACAUAAAAUAGUUUGACUCUCCAAGAAAGUUGGAAUGACUUAUAAUUUGGAACGGAGGGAGUACAAUUUUGGUAGUACUCGUACAAGUGUAUCUUAGGAUAAUACAUAAGUUAAUAGCGGUAACUAAAUAAACACUGCAUCAUUGGAGCAAUUAUAUGAUAUAAACAGAGGUAUUGGCAGUAUCAACUUCAAUGGCCCUCAGUUCCUUAUCCUUCAUUGCUAUAACCUCCCACACCUCCCUCCAUGUAGUAGUGUGUGACCAUCCAACCGCAGUGUCCCGUAGAGCCUAAAAGUAGAAUUAUACAAAAGUAUAUUAGACCCCAAGUCUCUGGUCUGGUUAUAUAAACGUGUAAUAUGACAUAUUUGCACACACUUUUGUGAAGGUUAGCAGGGGAUCAAACCGAUUUCUUUAGCUAUACACAACUUCUUUAUUGCAUAAUCAUAAUAUGUCUUGGGUUUCUAAACUCCUUCUAAACUCAGUAGCAUCAAAGACUUUUUACAUCAAUUUUCCAUCGAAGCUAAACAACUAACAAAAUUGACGAUGGUUAACAGAUUCCGACAGGCAAAGCAUCAGUGUACUUGUGUCAUCAUAUCAACGUUUAGUUCUAUCACAUUUAAAUUAAUUCACUAAAUCAAUGUCCUGGCUCCUGCUGGGCGCUGACUACUUUGCAGUUUGCAGCAUAGCAAUACAAGUAAUUUCUGGUAGAUAGGAAAAAUACCUAACAAGUUGGGGCCAGCCGGCCAGGGCCUUGCUCGGAUCGCCUGCUUGAUUGGCUAGUUGGCUGAUCUGCUGCACGCAGCGCGCCCCACAGCCACACAGGCGGACCGGCAGAGGCCAGACCGCCAGCCGCCAGGGGACACGGUGAGGGCGCGGGGCGCGGGCCUGGCGGCGGACGGCACGGGCGUGGUCGCGAGGAGGCGGAGGACGGUGCAAGACUCCCCGACGGAGGAGCGAGCGCGUCUGACGGGGUGGUUUUUUAUUCCUUCGCGGAUGCCCGUGGCAGCUAACGCCAUUAGCUCGCCCAUAUAAGACGACACCCACAAGGCCAC